ACCUUGCUAAUACUCAAUAGGAGGCUACGGAUACAAUUUUUUCGAACUAGGGACCCCGUUGUCAACAAAAUAUAUCGGAGGAUUUCCAAUCGGUUGACAAAAUUACUAAAUCAGCAGAAGCAAAAGCAGACCGAUCUCCUACUGGAUAGAAUCUCAUCAGGUUAUUCAAAAAACCAUUCUCUAUUGAAGAUAGCGAGUAAAUUCAAUAAACAGGUGUCCCCAAAGUUUCUUAUCAGGAAAGAUGGCCAGAUCGCCAAGUGAGCUCGCGAAAGUGUUUGCUGACAGCCUGCAAAAUCGAUUUCAGGAGUUUGAGUUUUCUCCAGCUUUCACUAAAUGAGAUUCAGGAUGAAAUACAUAGAUCGCCCCGGACAAAAGUGUCGCCCAAUACGAGCAAUAACGGUUGAGGAAGUUUCGACCCACAUUAAGUCGCUAAAGCCCCAAGUGGUGAUGGACUAGACAACUAUACAUUGACGGUGCUACCCUUCAAAGCUUUCCUCGUCUGGGUGCUCAUUUUAAAUGCCGUGUUGAGGCUAGAAUACUUUCCGAAGCAAUGGAAAAAAGCGAGAAUAUGAUCCAUAUCCAUAAAUCUGAUUCCGCAAGUUACACUGAACAACUGAACAGAGUGGUAAACUUCAUUCUGGAAGGAUUCGAAGCCAAGGAAUAUGUAGUGGCUGCACACCUUGAUAUUAAGCAAGCCUUUGACAGAGUAUGGCAAGUGUGUCCAGUGUACUAUGGAGCAUUUGACCACAUUUGUGGCAUUAAUUAAUAACUUAAAAAGAAACCAACAUUUUUAAAUUUUGUUUUUGGAAUUAAGUUUAUGAUAAUAAAAAGAUUGGAACCGAUUGGAAAAAAA